rnacentral:piRNA from 1 species
UAGUUUCCUUUGCCAUGUGGACUUCUUAUU